rnacentral:lncRNA from 1 species
GAGUAAAGGAUAUUGUUCAUUCUGAGCAAUUACUCAAAUUGUUUCACAGUGUGUUCUAUUUAUUUGUAUAAGCAUCGUUAAUAUGCAAACUGAAUCAUCCCUUGGAAACCUGAAAGUGAAUUUUGUGAUAAUACAAGGAAUCCUAGGGUAAUCAUACCAGAUGUCUUCUGCAUGCCUUAAUUUACAAAUGCCAACAAUAAAAAGGAGGAAGGAGGAGCCAGGAAGAUUGGAUGCAGUAGCCACCAAGCGCCAAGUUAGAGUCAUGUGAAAGCUUUUUGCCAUAUAACUGACCACUGCCUUCCCAGCCAUCAACUCUUCUUUGAGCCUUUUCUCCCCCUUCUUUCUUACAACAACAACUCACUACCCUUCAACUUUAAACUUUCUGCAAAUAACAUAUGGGGAAGUUAUCACUGUCAAGCCUAGAUGUGUGGUGUUAUAAGUAUGAAACUGUGAUAGCGACUGCAAAGUACUAAAGCUAUCCUAUAAAAUUGUGGAAAACAUCAGAAGAGGCCCUUGAGAUU